rnacentral:rRNA from 1 species
UCGCCAGUAGAAUUUAGAAUUAUUGGUAGUACCUGCUCAAUGCCUUUUUUGGGUAAAUAGCCGCUGUAUUUUGACGGUGCUAAGGUAGCGAAAUUCCUAGCCUUUUAAUUGUAGGCCUGCAUGAAUGGUUUGACGAGCGCCCAACUGUCUCUUAUUUCACAAUUAGUAAAAUUAACUUUUGUGUGCAAAGUCACAAAUUUCUCAGUUAGACGAAAAGACCCUGUGCAACUUUACUGGAAAGGAGGGAGGCGUCCUCUGAUGCGGUUUUGCUGGGGCAGCACGGGAAAAACCAAAAUUUCCCCAUUAUAAAGUAUACUGAUAAGUUUAGAUCCAAUUUUUAGGUUGAUCAGUAGAAAAGUUACGCCAGGGAUAACAGCGUUAUCCUUCUGUGGAGGUCUUAUCUGCAGGGGGGAUUGCGACCUCGAUGUUGAAUUAGGGAUAUAGCAGAAAGGCGCAGCAGCUUUUUUUGUAGGUCUGUUCGACCUUUAAAACCCUACAUGAUCUGAGUUCAAACC